rnacentral:lncRNA from 1 species
GGGGUAGGCCUGAAGCAUGAGGCCUGAACUCACACAAAAAGCCAGUCUUGCUCUGCAGAGGUCAGACCUGACUGUGCUCCUGAGAGGGGUUUCGGGGGUUGUGUGCAGUGGGGACAUUUUUGGAGCCCACGCCAUUUCCAUCUGGUGGUGCUUUACAUGCUUUCCAUUCUCUUUCCAGACCCAGUGAGGUAACUGCUAUUUCAUAAAUUCAGAUGCUGUCUCCCUUGCUGACCAUUUCUUGCUUUUAUCUCUUUGGGCAUCAACUUGGCCCUCUGGUCUCUCCCUCUAGGUGCCUCCUUCUUUUGAAGCCAUUAUCUGCACGGCCUGAAAAACACAUGCAGGAAGCACCACCAGGGCGUGCAGGUGAGUAGGGCAGGCAAGGAGCUGCUUGGCUCCCAAGGUGGAGCUUCCCCACACAGUAUGAGGAUGAGAGCAGGCCCCAGUCCUCUGUGGACCACCAUUCCUGGCCAGUGCGUCCUGGGGACCACACAAUGCCGCAAAGGCCACGAGUGCUCCACGCCAAGCACCUGGACUCCUACGGUGCCCUGGGUGUUUCUCAUCCUUGGGGCAGCUGUGUUCUUCCCAUGCCUGAUGCCAAGAGGCCUUGGGGUACCCACUUCACUCCACAUGCAACCUGUGAGCCUCACUUGUGGUCGGGAGAAGAGACAGGU